AACGAACGCUGGCGGCAUGCCUAACACAUGCAAGUCGAACGAAGGCUUCGGCCUUAGUGGCGCGCGGGUGAGUAACACGUGGGAACCUGCCUUUCGGUUCGGAAUAACGUUUGGAAACGAACGCUAACACCGGAUACGCCCUAUGGGGGAAAGUUUACGCCGAGAGAGGGGCCCGCGUCGGAUUAGGUAGUUGGUGAGGUAAUGGCUCACCAAGCCUGCGAUCCGUAGCUGGUCUGAGAGGAUGAUCAGCCACACUGGGACGGAGACACGGCCCAGACUCCUACGGGAGGCAGCAGUGGGGAAUAUUGGACAAUGGGCGCAAGCCUGAUCCAGCCAUGCCGCGUGAGUGAUGAAGGCCUUAGGGUUGUAAAGCUCUUUCACCGGAGAAGAUAAUGACGGUAUCCGGAGAAGAAGCCCCGGCUAACUUCGUGCCAGCCGCCGCCGUAAUAC
rnacentral:rRNA from 1 species